CUUUUUUGCUGUAGAAGAGAGAGACUAUUAACAUGCUGCUUCGGAACUUGGAGGAGCAGUUGCUGUAGCCAGGAAUGGCCCUGAUGCACAUGUGAUGAGCUCUGCAGCAGGUUGAGCCUGGGGCAGAACCAGGCAAAGGGAGCCCAGCUACUUGUGUGUAACUUCUGCAAACACAAUGGAGUGUUUAAGAUGAAUGAUUGCUCUCUCAAGGUGUGAUUUCUGAGGGGCUGGACUGACAGUGAAGGCUGUUUUCAGGAAGUCACUUUCAAGGAGUGUUGGCCACUUGCUCUGCUUCUUGGA